rnacentral:rRNA from 1 species
CAGCAGCCGCGGGAAUACGUAGGUGGUAAGCGUUGUCCGGAAUUAUUGGGCGUAAAGGGCUCGCAGGCGGUUUCUUAAGUCUGAUGUGAAAGCCCCCGGCUCAACCGGGGAGGGUCAUUGGAAACUGGGAAACUUGAGUGCAGAAGAGGAGAGUGGAAUUCCACGUGUAGCGGUGAAAUGCGUAGAGAUGUGGAGGAACACCAGUGGCGAAGGCGACUCUCUGGUCUGUAACUGACGCUGAGGAGCGAAAGCGUGGGGAACGAACAGGAUUAGAUACCCCUGUAGUCCCUGUCUCUUAUAC